rnacentral:rRNA from 1 species
AACGAACGCUGGCGGCAGGCUUAACACAUGCAAGUCGAGCGCCCCGCAAGGGGAGCGGCAGACGGGUGAGUAACGCGUGGGAAUCUACCCAUCUCUGCGGAAUAGCUCCGGGAAACUGGAAUUAAUACCGCAUACGUCCUUCGGGAGAAAGAUUUUAUCGGAGAUGGAUGAGCCCGCGUUGGAUUAGCUAGUUGGUGGGGUAAAGGCCUACCAAGGCGACGAUCCAUAGCUGGUCUGAGAGGAUGAUCAGCCACACUGGGACUGAGACACGGCCCAGACUCCUACGGGAGGCAGCAGUGGGGAAUAUUGGACAAUGGGCGCAAGCCUGAUCCAGCCAUGCCGCGUGAGUGAUGAAGGCCCUAGGGUUGUAAAGCUCUUUCACCGGUGAAGAUAAUGACGGUAACCGGAGAAGAAGCCCCGGCUAACUUCGUGCCAGCCGCCGCCGUAA